CUAUCGGUUCGGUUGUCAUCUCGUAGGCGCAGAAAUGCCUCUUUAAUGCGGCAACCUUUGCUCAGAGACGACAGCAGCGCUGCAGUUGAACAACGCGAUAGCGGAGCAGCCUGGAGCAGCCACAUUGCCAGAAGCAAUAUUUUCUCGCGAUUCUUUUUCUAAAAUACUCUUUGUAUCAUGAUAGAUGACUCAUGAUCACUCAUGAUAAAUAAUUCCUUCAAAUUAUAAAAAUAAAAAUAGCACGAGAAAGGCAUUACGCUGAUGAAACCAUGUAUGCAUCGUACAUCAUUAAAAUAAAUGACGAUAUUUCGAUUUGAUCGUCAUAUUUGUGUAAACUCUGUACUGCGUAUCGUAUAAAUAAUUUCCGAAAAAUUAUUGUAAUUAAAAUUCUAGUAUAAAAAGCGUAUAUAAUUUAAAUAUGUCGUGUACAGACUGUUCGACUUAUUGUCAACCACCAAUAAUUCCUCCGACAAUUAUAGCAAAUCCUUCUACUAAUUCUUGUACAGUUUGUUUUUCUGCAACAUGUUCCCCAUAUGCUGUUCUCUCUAAUUUUCCUCGCGCUCCUUACUGUGGUUGUUCAUCUUACGUUUUGUAUUACGAUAAAUAUUCUCCAAUCACAACAUUACGCAAUGUUCGAAGUAAUUAUACUUGCCCGCCCUAUACAUCUAGCACAUACAGAUGUUAAUUUGAAUUCCCUAAAUGAUAUAUUGUAAUGAAGUAAAUUAUUCUUAUAUAAAGGGUCGAACACUUUUUGACAAUGAUACAAAGUAAUAUAAAAUUGUAAUGUAUUGUAUCAUCCUACUUAUGUAUAAAAUGAAUAAAAAUAUAUUUAUUAAUGAAUAUUUUAUUGUGGCAUACUGAAUAGGACAGAUACCAGAUUUUCUUGAAAUCAUUUUACUUUAAUAUAUAAUACACAUAACAUCUGUAAAAUACAUUAUUCUUCUAC